rnacentral:rRNA from 1 species
UACGUAGGGGGCAAGCGUUGUCCGGAUUUAUUGGGCGUAAAGAGCUCGUAGGCGGUUCGGUAAGUCGGAUGUGAAAUCUCCAGGCUCAACCUGGAGGGGUCAUUCGAUACUGCCGUGACUAGAGUUCGGUAGGGGAGUGUGGAAUUCCUGGUGGAGCGGUGAAAUGCGCAGAUAUCAGGAGGAACACCCGUAGCGAAGGCGGCACUCUGGGCCGAUACUGACACUGAGGCGCGAAAGCUAGGGGAGCAAACAGG